AACGAACGCUGGCGGCAUGCCUAACACAUGCAAGUCGAACGAGACCUUCGGGUCUAGUGGCGCACGGGUGCGUAACGCGUGGGAAUCUGCCCUUCGGUUGGGAAUAACUGAGAGAAAUUUCAGCUAAUACCUUAUAAUGUCUUCGGACCAAAGAUUUAUCGCCGAGGGAUGAGCCCGCGUAGGAUUAGGUAGUUGGUGGGGUAAUGGCCUACCAAGCCGACGAUCCUUAGCUGGUCUGAGAGGAUGAUCAGCCACACUGGGACUGAGACACGGCCCAGACUCCUACGGGAGGCAGCAGUGGGGAAUAUUGGACAAUGGGCGAAAGCCUGAUCCAGCAAUGCCGCGUGAGUGAUGAAGGCCUAGGGUUGUAAAGCUCUUUUACCCGGGAUGAUAAUGACAGUACCGGGAGAAUAAGCUCCGGCUAACUCCGUG
rnacentral:rRNA from 1 species